rnacentral:rRNA from 1 species
UGGGGAAUUUUGGACAAUGGGCGAAAGCCUGAUCCAGCAAUGCCGCGUGUGUGAAGAAGGCCUUCGGGUUGUAAAGCACUUUUGUCCGGAAAGAAAUCCUUGGCUCUAAUACAGUCGGGGGAUGACGGUACCGGAAGAAUAAGCACCGGCUAACUACGUGCCAGCAGCCGCGGUAAUACGUAGGGUGCAAGCGUUAAUCGGAAUUACUGGGCGUAAAGCGUGCGCAGGCGGUUUGCUAAGACCGAUGUGAAAUCCCCGGGCUCAACCUGGGGACUGCAUUGGUGACUGGCAGGCUAGAGUAUGGCAGAGGGGGGUAGAAUUCCACGUGUAGCAGUGAAAUGCGUAGAGAUGUGGAGGAAUACCGAUGGCGAAGGCAGCCCCCUGGGCCAAUACUGACGCUCAUGCACGAAAGCGUGGGGAGCAAACAGGAUUAGAUACCCUGGUAGUCCACGCCCUAAACGAUGUCAACUAGUUGUUGGGGAUUCAUUUUCCUUAGUAACGUAGCUAACGCGUGAAGUUGACCGCCUGGGGAGUACGGUCGCAAGAUUAAAACUCAAAUGAAUUGACGGGGUCAUAGCUGUUUCCU